GAGGGAGGGCGAGCUGGACGAGUCGGCCGCUCGCGGGCCCCCGCCGCCGGGACUGCGGGAGCAGGGGCGGGGCGCGCACCGGGCCUCUGUGACUCGCGGCGCGGGGGCCGGGGCGGCCUACGCACGUGGCCCGGGCGGCGCGGGGCAGGUCGACCCCGGGUCGCGGCGGCCUCUGCCCGCGACCAGGCCGGGCCCCUGACCGCGCCGUUCCGUCCUUCUGUCGCCCGGUGAAAAAGUGCCCCCACCCCGAGGUUGGGGGGGGCCACCGCGAUCACCGGUGAUCCCGAGCCACGUCCAGGAUGGAGAUUGUGUAAUCUGCAGCUAUUCCUCUUCCUUGGAGACCUUUAAAGCACACGGUUCUUAAACCUGGCUGCACAUUAGGAUCGCCUAGGGAGCUUUAAAAAUACCAACUGCAAGCCAACUGAAUCUGAAUCUCUGGGGUAAGAGAGAUCCAGCAUAGCACUGUUUAUUACUGGUGAAAAAUGAGAAACAUCAACAGGGUACUAGUUAAUAAGUCAUGGAACAUCCAUCCACAUGACUGAUUUUUAUGCAGCAGUAAAAAAGGAAAAGGAAACAUUUGUGUAUAAAAGAAAAGGACUUUCAGAGCUGGAGAGGAGAUAUCCAUGCCUGGCUUCAAAACUUCAAAGAAGGGGCUGACUGUCUUGUUAGAGGCUAAUGCAGCUGGUGUCAUUAAGUAGAAGCCAGGACUCAUUUACCAUUUCAAAAAUCCUAGGGCUCCUAGUUAUUAUGCUAAAUCUACUAUUUCUUGUUAUAUGAAUGGAACAACAAAGCUUAGAUGACAGUGUAUCUCUUGACAACACGGUUUACGAAAUAUUUCAAGACCACUGUUGAGACUAACAGCUCAGAAAAAAAUUCCUACUACAUUGACAAUGCAUCUAGUUACCCAAGAGCUCUAUUGGGGAGUACAACAAGAUUAAUGUUUUCAGGCCUGCUAAUGCAACAUUCAUUCUAUAGCGCAUGGAUCAAGGAAUAAUUUUGACUCUCAAGUCUUAUUAUUUAAGAACUACAUUUCAUAAGGCUAUAGCUACUAUAGAUAAUGAUUUCUCUGAUGGAUUUGGGCAAAGCUAAUUAAAAACCUUGUGGAAAGGGAUCACCAUUCUAGACGCCAGUAAGGUCACUUGUGAUUCAUGAAAAGAGGUCAACAUAUCAAUAUUCACAGGAGUUUGGAAGAAUCGGAUUCCAACCCUCAUGGAUGACUUUGUGGAGUAACUGUAGAUGUGGUAGAAAUAGCAAAGGAACUAGAAUUAGAAGUAAAGCCUGAUGAUGAGACUGAAUUGCUACAAUCUCAUGAUAAACCUUUAAUGGACGAGGAAUUGCUUCUAAUGGUUGAACAAAAAAAUGCUUUCUUGAGAUGGAAUCUAAACUUGGUAAAGAUGCUAUGAAAAAUUGCUGAGUGACAACAAAGGAUUUAAAAUAUUACAUAAACUUAGUUGAUAAAUCAGUGGCAGGGUUUGAAAGGAUGGACUCCAAUUUUGAAAGUUCUGUUGAAGGUAAAAUGCUAUGAAACAGCAUCCCAUGCUUUAAAGAAAUUGUGAAAGGAAGAGUAAAUUGAUGUGGCAAACUUUGUUAUUGUUUUAAGAAAUUAUCACAGCCACCACCACUCCUGAUCACUCAGUAGCCAUCAACAUUGAGGUAAGACCCUCCACCAGCAGAGAUUAUGACACUGAAAGCUCUGAUAAUGGUUAGCAUUUUUAAGCAAUAAAGCUUUUUAUUUCAUUUUAUUUUAUUGAAGUAUAGUUGACACACGAUGUUCCAUUAAUUUCAGGUGUACAACAUAGUGAGUUGACAAGUCUUUAUGUUAUGCUAUGCUCACCACAACUGUACCUAUCAUCUGUCGCCUUAUACAAUAUUAUAAUACCAUUGACUAUAUUCUCUAUGCUGUACCUUUUAUUCCUGUGACUUCUUCAUUCCAUAACUGGAAGCAAUAAAAAAUACAUUUUUAAA